rnacentral:lncRNA from 1 species
GACCGGUCUAUUUUAUCCUUGUCAUUUCUAACAACAUUAAAAAGGGUAUUCCUCCUGGCAAUACUUAAUACCGGGGGGUGUAUGAGAUUCCUGCCAGGAUAAUGAUUUCGUCAAAAUGUUGGUUGUAUGGGUUGUGCGGCCGGGUCCUUGUCGAGGAGAUUAAAGGGACAUGGGAGGGAUGUGGAGAAAAGGGCUGCAACAGCAGCCUUGGUGCAAAGAGUGCUCUCAUCAGACUUAAACAUGGACUGGGAUGGCGCUCGGAUCUUGAGGAGGGGGGGCGAUCCUGAGAGAGAGAGGAUGGUAGAAGCAAUAAAAAUUUAUAAGGAAUCGAGCAGGAAACCGAUUGGCGUUGUUGAUCCUGCAGCCCUUAAUAACGGUUGGAAGUCGUGUG